rnacentral:rRNA from 1 species
UUUCGAAUCAUUCACAAUGGGCGAAAGCCUGAUGGUGCGACGCCGCGUGAGGGAUGAAGGUCUUCGGAUUGUAAACCUCUGUCACUGGGGAAGAAACGCUUUGAGUUAAUAGUUCAAAGCCUGACUUAACCCGGAGAGGAAGCAGUGGCUAACUCUGUGCCAGCAGCCGCGGUAAUACAGAGACUGCAAGCGUUAUUCGGAUUCACUGGGCGUAAAGGGUGCGCAGGCGGCCGGGUGUGUCAGAUGUGAAAUCCCGAGGCUUAACCUCGGAACUGCGUCUGAAACUACUCGGCUAGAGUAUUGGAGAGGGUAACGGAAUUCACGGUGUAGCAGUGAAAUGCGUAGAUAUCGUGAGGAACACCAGAGGCGAAGGCGGUUACCUGGACAAUUACUGACGCUCAGGCACGAAAGCAUGGGGAGCAAAAGGGAUUAGAUACCCCGGUAGUCC